UACGAAGGGGGCGAGCGUUGUUCGGAAUUACUGGGCGUAAAGGGCUCGUAGGCGGCCCUCUCAGUCGGAUGUGAAAUCCCUAGGCUCAACCUAGGAACUGCACUCGAAACUGCGUUUCUUGAGUAUCGGAGAGGAAAGCGGAAUUCCUGGUGUAGAGGUGAAAUUCGUAGAUAUCAGGAGGAACACCAGUGGCGAAGGCGGCUUUCUGGACGGUAACUGACGCUGAGGCGCGAAAGCGUGGGGAGCAAACAGG
rnacentral:rRNA from 1 species